UACGUAGGGUGCAAGCGUUAAUCGGAAUUACUGGGCGUAAAGCGUGCGCAGGCGGUUGUGCAAGACCGAUGUGAAAUCCCCGGGCUUAACCUGGGAAUGGCAUUGGUGACUGCACGGCUAGAGUGUGUCAGAGGGGGGUAGAAUUCCACGUGUAGCAGUGAAAUGCGUAGAGAUGUGGAGGAACACCGAUGGCGAAGGCAGCCCCCUGGGUCAAAACUGACGCUCAUGCACGAAAGCGUGGGGAGCAAACAGG
rnacentral:rRNA from 1 species